ACGAAAGUUAAAGACCUCAGUC
rnacentral:siRNA from 1 species